UAGGGAAUCUUCCACAAUGGACGCAAGUCUGAUGGAGCAACGCCGCGUGAGUGAAGAAGGUUUUCGGAUCGUAAAGCUCUGUUGUUGGUGAAGAAGGAUAGAGGCAGUAACUGGUCUUUAUUUGACGGUAAUCAACCAGAAAGUCACGGCUAACUACGUGCCAGCAGCCGUAGUAAUACGUAGGUGGCAAGCGUUGUCCGGAUUUAUUGGGCGUAAAGCGAGCGCAGGCGGAAUGAUAAGUCUGAUGUGAAAGCCCACGGCUCAACCGUGGAACUGCAUCGGAAACUGUCAUUCUUGAGUGCAGAAGAGGAGAGUGGAAUUCCAUGUGUAGCGGUGGAAUGCGUAGAUAUAUGGAAGAACACCAGUGGCGAAGGCGGCUCUCUGGUCUGCAACUGACGCUGAGGCUCGAAAGCAUGGGUAGCGAACAGG
rnacentral:rRNA from 1 species